rnacentral:rRNA from 1 species
GACGAACGCUGGCGGCGUGCUUAACACAUGCAAGUCGAACGGAAAGGCCCUGCUUUUGUGGGUUGCUCGAUUGGCGAACAGGUGAGUAACACGCGAGUAACCUGCCCUUGACUUUGGGAUAACUUCAGGAAACUGGGGCUAAUACCGGAUAGGAGCUCCUGCUGCACGGGGGGGGUUGGAAAGUGUCGGCGGUGCGGGCUGGAAUCGCGGCUUAUCCGCUGGUUGGGGGGGUAGGGGCUGACCAAGGGUUUGACGGGUAGCCGGCCUGAGAGGGUGGCCGGGGACCAUGGGCCUGCGAGACGGCGCAGAAGGCUACGGGAGGCAACGGUGGGGAGUAUUGCGCAGUGGGCGGAAGUCUGAGACAGAAGCCCCGCGUGCGGGAUGCCGGGCUACGGGUUGUGAACAGCUUUGGACGGUGCCAUAGCCGGCGUGACGGUAAUGAGUAAAGAAGCAACGGCUAACUACGUG